rfam:Xenopus laevis strain J chromosome 9_10L, whole genome shotgun sequence.
CCGGCAACAAUAUCCUGAUGCCGUCUGAGUGUGCGGGAUAGCUCCAGCAUCAGUGAUUUUGUUGGUGG